UACGGAGGGUGCAAGCGUUAUCCGGAUUCACUGGGUUUAAAGGGUGCGUAGGUGGGCAGGUAAGUCCGUGGUGAAAUCUCUGAGCUUAACUCAGAAACUGCCGUGGAUACUAUCUGUCUUGAAUAUUGUGGAGGUAAGCGGAAUAUGUCAUGUAGCGGUGAAAUGCUUAGAUAUGACAUAGAACACCAAUUGCGAAGGCAGCUCACUACACAAUCAUUGACGCUGAGGCACGAAAGCGUGGGGAGCAAACAGG
rnacentral:rRNA from 1 species